rnacentral:rRNA from 1 species
GAUGAACGCUAGCGACAGGCUUAACACAUGCAAGUCGAGGGGCAGCGAGGGCGUAGCAAUACGCCUGUCGGCGACCGGCGCACUGGUGAGUAACACGUAUGCGACCUGCCCCCUACAGGGGUAUAACCCGUAGAAAUGCGGACUAAUCCCCCAUAGUCCCGCGGGCUGCAUGGCCUGCGGGGGAAAGGCCAGCCGGUAGGGGAUGGGCAUGCGGCGCAUUAGCUAGUUGGCGGGGCAACGGCCCACCAAGGCGACGAUGCGUAGGGGUUCUGAGAGGAAGGUCCCCCACACUGGUACUGAGACACGGACCAGACUCCUACGGGAGGCAGCAGUGAGGAAUAUUGGUCAAUGGGCGAGAGCCUGAACCAGCCAAGUAGCGUGCAGGACGACGGCCCUAUGGGUUGUAAACUGCUUUUAUAAGGGAAUAAAGUGAGUCUCGUGAGACUUUUUGCAUGUACCUUAUGAAUAAGGACCGGCUAAUUCCGUG